rnacentral:lncRNA from 1 species
CGGGGAACAAAAAAUAAACUUUGAUCACUGGUGAAGACUCCAAGAAGUAGAUGGGAAACAGCAGCUUCGGGUGGUUCAGAAAUUGACAAACGAGCAUGUGAGCCCAGACAACCUGCGAAAGAUGAACGGGAGUCUGGCUGUACAGCUUUUCAGCCGAAGCGCUGCCAUUGGGUUAAAGGUAUACCAGCGGUUAGAGGAGCCUGACCUGAAAGACUGCCAUGGAACUGCUCAGUUCACCCUCAUGGUGAACGACCUGUUCGAUGCCCUGAAUGUGAAGCUUCCACGGUUUGGAAUAACAAGUUCGUCAAAGGAAGUUGAAGUCAUGCAGGAGUUACUUGAUGCUGUAAAUAAGACCGAGGAAAACCAUAUCACCAAUGGGACAGUGAUGUUUGCAUCGCAAUUUACAAUGGAGUCGCUUCGAGUUACGCUUGCAUCAGUACGGGACCUUGUAAGAGAUCUCUCUAAAGGAGCGCGUUAUGUGCUCACGGGCAAACUAAACCAGGAUCCUUUAGAGAGGUUUUUUGGUGUGACAAGAAGUUAUGAAGGGGCAUGAAGAUCACCCUACCCUAAUCAGCUUUGCACACAUAUAUAGGCUUCUGAACCUGUAUACACCAAUCAGCACUUGUGUCACUGGGAACGUGAGUGAUGAGCAGGCUUUUGUGCUUGCCACAGUCGCAGACAGCAUGAAAAGGGAAAGAAAUGACACACUCUCAUCCCAUGAAAGACUCCGGGAGGGUGUUCGAGCAAAGUUGGCAGAAAUCUCUUCUACUGCACAGAAUGAAACACCGACAGCACCUGAUCAUGGGUACUCCACACCACCAGCACAGGACUGUGUUAUUUACUACUUGUGUGGCUAUCUUGUCCACUCUUACCUCAAGCACGAGAGGUGUUCUGACUGUGUACGUAGUAUCCAGUCUGAAAAUGCGGAGUGCCCAGAGGCAUUUCUCACUUUGGAGAGGGAAUUUAAGCACGGGUGCCUAAAAUUGCCAUCAUGGGAGCUCUUCUCUAGGUUUCGAGGCAUCGAAGCCAAAAUUUCGGAUGAGCUACAAAAGAAGCGGCUCUGCUCAGACACAGUUUGGUGCGUUCUCGACGCUCUUGGGGAUUGUGACAUUACUAGUGUGGGCUGUUCUGUUCACAAGGUAACCACUACGGCAGAGCUCCUUCACUCCUACAUAGUGCUAAAGACUGCAUUUCGCUGCCAGAGAUACUUGUAAAAGCUUUAGCUCUUCAGAAAAAGUCGCAUCUGCUAGAAAGAAAGUGAAGCUAACGUGAAGGCUUGCAGUACAGCUCUGUCACCGUAACCCUUGUAAAUAUGUCCCUGUAAAUAUUGUAGCUGCUGCAUUCAGUUUCAUGGCAUCAAAUAAAAGUUACAAUUUUUU